UACGGAGGGUGCAAGCGUUAUCCGGAUUCACUGGGUUUAAAGGGUGUGUAGGCGGGCUGUUAAGUCAGUGGUGAAAUCUCCGGGCUCAACCCGGAAACUGCCAUUGAUACUAUCAGUCUUGAAUAUCGUUGAGGUGGGCAGAAUAUGUCAUGUAGCGGUGAAAUGCAUAGAUAUGACAUAGAAUACCGGUGGCGAAGGCGGCUUCCUGGACCGACACUGACGCUGAGGCGCGAAAGCUAGGGGAGCAAACGGG
rnacentral:rRNA from 1 species